UUUCUUAAAGUUAUGGUUGUGAACGAGGGCUUAAAAAAUAUGAAAUUUGUUUUUAGUUUAAAUAAUUUUAAAAUCUAAAUCGACAUCUCAGAUUGAUAAACAAAAGGCAGAUGGAGCGUGCCGAACAUGCGAGUGAAGCCACCAAAGCGAAUACAAAAUCAAAAGCGAAUACAAAGUCGCAGCAGUGCUAAAGAUAGCGUUGUAGUGUUUAAACGUCUCGAGUGAUUCAUUAUUUUUGUCAAAAAAUGCCGUCUUGUGUUAUUAAACAUUGUAAGAGUUGUUCCCAAAAACAAAAAAAAAAGAGGGUGGAACUUCAUUUCACAGAUUGCCGACAGAUGUUGUUCUACGCGAGGAAUGGGUUUCUAUUAUUCGCCAAAGCAGGCGUUGUUGGCGUUGCGUUGUGUGUUCAUUACAUUUUAAAGAGGAUGGCUUAUGCUUUACCGAAAAAUGUCGUAGGUUUAUAAAAAAAAAUUCAAUGUUAUUAUUUGUAAUACUAUCUAAAUUUUAGUCUAGUCUGUAAAUCGAUGUACGUGUGUGUUUGAAUAAAUGAUGAUGAUUAUGAUUAUUAUUAUUAUUAUUAAAUAUUUUGAAUUAUG